UUGAUCUCUUGUUACUCUUUGGCUUUCAGGUCUCCUUUAAUGUGCCUUGGUCUCCAAACUGCAAGAAUGAGCGAUGCUUUGACUUUUUAACAAUUUCACAAGCCUGUGACAUUUUAUUUGUGGCAUCCUUUGAUAUUCCAAAUGAUAUGCGGGACGGUUGCGUCGCAAGGUCAAGUGCUGCCUAUCACCAUGUUUUAUCAGGUAUGUCGGCUUAUAUCAAACUGGGCAUUGACUCCAGAAAGCUGGUGAUGGGCGUUCGUUGGUCCGGUUAUGACUAUACUUGCCAGCGCUUUCUCGGGGCUAGCAGCUGUG